UCGACGAGGAAACGUGGGAAAUCCUCAGCCAAAUGAAUACCACCAAAACGUCAGAAGGUGUCAACUCGGUCAACAUCAAAUACAAUUAACGAUGACUUGGUGCAAAAUAAUACAAUACAUUUGGGAAAGCAAACACUGCAGCUACAAUCCAAUGAAACGCACCCAGACCAAACUGACAUAAUAGUGAAUAGAAUAAUGGAAAAACUUGAUGUAAUAGUGGAAAAGAAAGUAAACUCCAUCCUGAAGGUAAAUAGGAACGAGACACCUGGAACUAGCCAGAAGCUAUGUCCAGGCAUACAGCAUUUUAUGACGGCAUGUGGGAGGGACGGAUACCAGAUAUCAGAAUUUAAUUGAAAUCGGACCAAGUGAUAUUGUUCAAGACAAUUUUCAUGUACUGGCCCCGGGUGCUAACAUAGCGGUAAAUACCCUAUGGUUACAUGGCAUUCUUUCGUCUUUGACAAAACAAAAAAAAAAAGGGAGAAAAAAGCAGAGAAUAAGGGAUCAAACAUAAGGGAAAACAGGGAUGUCAAAAUUUUAAAGCGAUACUGGAUGGUUUUUUAUCCCUUUGACCUUGCUGUGGAUGGAGGAACAAGUUUCAAGGACAACCCUGUGUUUUAUGCUUUGCAGUUUUAUGCUACACAACAUCUGAAGGUGCCUAUACCAGUCUUUAAAAAGCGCUGGAACACAAAAAUGGUUUCAGCUAGACAGACUGUGAAACGAUGCAGGCUACAAGGAGGAACAAGCAUCAAUGAUCAAAUAGAAGAUUCAGUUGGUUAAUUAUUACUGUGAUUUGUAUACACGCACCUCCAUUCCUAGUCAAACAUUGUGAUUUGUAUACAUUUUGAAUUACCUCUAGUCCUAAUAAACAUUUUAAAGUGAUUUCCAAGAAUAAGGAGAGCUAUCCUACUCGCACGAGCGUCUGCAUAAAAGUUUUGCAUGCAAGUUUCAUAUCUCUGUAACUACUUAAGAUAUUCAAUUGAAAAUUAUAGAAUUUGAUUAUUUUGAUUAUCAAAUUCUAAUUUCAUUUCAUUCCGUUGUUAACUUACCAUACGAAAUAUACAUCAGGAUUAUCUCCCUUAGACCAUUGAGUAACACGCAUAAAAUUAAUGAGCGUCUAGAUGAUCAUCAUCGACCAUGCGUAGUCUACAUCACUAGAUGCUCUAUACCCCAGUUAAUUUUUCUGCGCCACUGCAGUCACACGUUUUUUAAACUGAGAAAACUUUUUACCAGUUAUUUUGAAUUUUCUUUGCCAAAUUUAUUAUUUUGAGUGAUUGUGCUUGGAUUAUUACCGCAGAAGCUACAAUCCUGAAGGAAAAAGAGGGUAAAGUAUCCGAAAAUGAGUCAGAAACUCCCAAAAAUACAAAGAAAAAAGCUCUUAUACUUUUUAGGCGUUGUCUGUUACAUUUACUUUGGCUGUGCUGUGUUCACUUUAGACAGCACUACUAAAACAUUUGAUAUUUCUAAAUGAAUCUUUUACCUUCUUUGUUUAGCUCGAUUGGAAUGCUGUCAAAUACUAAGACCUGUAUCCUAUAUUCGUGUUUGUUGUUUUUGUAGUUAGGAACAUGGAAUUGGUGAAUAAUUGAUUUACUCACGACAAAGAGUGAGUAAAUCACAUUAAGUUGUUUGACAAGGACUAAACAACAUUAAAUGUGAUUUGUAUGCAUGCAUCUAUAAUCCUAGUCAUACAUUUUUAUACUUUUGCCUAAAUUUCAAGUCCUGUAUUAAUCUAAGAUGAAUUUACUUGAACCUGUAGUCAUAGUCAGACAUUUUCAGUUGAUUUUUAUACAUGUACAUUGAGUCAAAGUUAACCAUAUAUGAUUCUUCAUGUAAUUUUUAUACAUGUAAUAAUAGUUAGGCAGUAUUCAGUAGAUUUUUAUGCAUGUGCAGUGCUUUAUUCAAUUGAAAUUUAUGUAUCUCAGAUUUAAGCCGCACAUUUGGUUGAUUUUUACACAUGUACCUCAAGUUUAAGCCGAUCAUUAUUCAGGUGAUCCCAAAUCAGCAUUCCUUGGGUUUUCCCAUUUUAAUAUUCAUUAAUGUUAAUACUACUAUUAAGUUAAAUUUUGAUGAUUCUGCCAUUAUGUUAUGCUCCUUGAUUGAUUGAAAAAUGUCAUUGUUUGUUUAGUUUCUUAGGAAUAUCUGCUGAUAAGUUGAUAACACAAUAGAUAUAGUGGUCUAUUUUCAUGACUUUUAGUUCUCCUCUGAACAGGAAGUGCUGUAGGUGAGCUGAUGAGACCAUCUGUGUCUUUCUGUGACCUGUUCACUUUUUUGUACCAAAGCGUUAUGAAAAUGGCCAGUUUAUCUUAAUGCUUUUACUCACAGUAGAACUAUUUUGAAUUAUCUCGCUUGAUCAUAUAUGGUUCUGAAUGAUUGUAUGGAUCAUAAUAAAUUAAUAAUCUGUUGUUUCUACAGAUACCCUUGUUUAUACAUAUCAAUAAUUGUUUCCUUAUUUGUGAGAAUUAUACAUUUGUUUCAUGCAUGUAAAUGGUGUUUUGUUCAUGUUUUCUAAAGUGUAUUACCGUAAUAUCAAGUCAUUAUCUUUUAAAGUACCAAAGAUAUGUCUAUAAACGAAGCUUUUGAAAAAAUUUAACAUGAAAAUAAUUCCAAGUAUAACAAUUUGGUGACCUUGACCUUGGGUAUAAUUAGCCCAGCCCCUGCACAUACUUUAUUUGUAUGCUGUAAAAUGUCUAUGUGAGCUUAUAGUAAGAUAUAAGCAAUAGUAACAAAGAUAUGACAGAAAAACAAAGGUUGCCGAAAAACUUUAACCUUAAAAAUAACCCAAGUAUAACACCUUGGUGACCUUGACCUUGGGUAUAAUGGGCCAGAGCCUGCACAUACUUUAUCUGCAUGCUGAACAAUGUUAAUGUGAAGUUACAGUAAGAUAUAAGCAAAAGUAACAAAGAAAAACAAAGGUUGCCGAAAAACUUUAACCAAGAAAGCUCACACAGACAACAACGCAAACGCCGGGGCGAGUAGAAUAGCCCCCAUAUUCACCGAAUAGUGGAGCUAAAAACUACAAAAGGAGUGUAAUGGUCAAACCAACAAAGAGAAUCAAAAUGUUAAACCUGAAUCUGAUAACAACAAAGACAGAAAUUGGCAAAUGUUCAAAGCAAACAUAGGUAUUAAUGAAUUGCUUACCAAGAACAGGCAGUGUGCUUGCGUUUGGGACAGAAGACCGACAUUCAGAAAUUAGGGACAGAAUUGUAAAUGAAAUAAUACAAAAUGAAGAGGAAUAUUUAUCUUUGGAACAAAGAAAGAGAACAAC